GCCAAGUCCAAGAACCAUACCUCACACAACCAGUCCUGCAAAUGGCACAGAAAUGGCAUCAAGAAACUCUGGUCACAGAGAUAUGAAUUUCUUAAGGGGGUUGACCCCAAGUACCUGAGGAACAAGUGCUUUGCCAAGAAGCACAACAAGAAAGGCCUGAAGAAGAUGCAGGCCAACAAUGCAAAGGCAGUGAGUGCACGCACAGAGGCCAUCGAGGCCCUUGUGAAGCCUCAGGCCAUCAAGCCCAAGAUGCCAAAGGGCCCCAGCUGCAAACUCUGCCGUCUGGCUUUCAUCACUCACCCCAAGCUUGAGAAGCGGAUUUGAAUCUACAUGGCCAAGGGGCAUAGGCUCUGCCAACCAAAGCCCAAGAUCCAAGCCAAGGCAGGGGCCACAGCUCCAGCUCAGGCCCAGGCUUUGGCUCCAGCCCAGGCUCCCAAAGGUGCCCAGGCCC
rnacentral:lncRNA from 1 species